rnacentral:hammerhead_ribozyme from 1 species
ACCCAGCUGACGAAUCCCACAUAGGACGAAACGCGCUUCCUAGAU